rnacentral:lncRNA from 1 species
GUUGAAGGCAAAGGCACUCAUUUUCCCUCUCCUCCCCCACCCCCCAACUAGGGGGUGGAGGAGUAAGGGAGCCUUAGUACUGAAAGUGCUGAACUCUAAAUGUAGAGGGGGAGCUUCAGAACGGCUCUCAACAACAUGUGACAGGGUUGUCAGAAAUGGGUCUGCACCCCAUCGCCUAAACACCAAUGGCUUGGAGAUCAAUCAGAUGGACAAAAUAAUUCUUCUGCUGUUCUGGUUUGAAUACAUUUUUCAGGUAAGUGGUUACCCUGUAUAUAUAACUAACCACAGAGCAAAUAUGUUCAAAAAUCUUUUUUAUUGA